GAAUUCAACUCCUACGGGAGGCAGCAGUGGGGAAUUUUGGACAAUGGGCGAAAGCCUGAUCCAGCCAUGCCGCGUGAGUGAUGAAGGCCCUAGGGUUGUAAAGCUCUUUUACCUGGGAAGAUAAUGACGGUAUCAGGAGAAUAAGCCCCGGCUAACUUCGUGCCAGCAGCCGCGGUAAUACGAAGGGGGCUAGCGUUGUUCGGAAUCACUGGGCGUAAAGAGCACGUAGGCGGAUCUUUAAGUCAGGGGUGAAAUCCCGAGGCUCAACCUCGGAACUGCCUUUGAUACUGGGGAUCUCGAGUCCGGGAGAGGUGAGUGGAACUGCGAGUGUAGAGGUGAAAUUCAUAGAUAUUCGCAAGAACACCAGUGGCGAAGGCGGCUCACUGGCCCGGAACUGACGCUGAGGUGCGAAAGCGUGGGGAGCGAACAGGAUUAGAAACCCUAGUAGUCCAGGCGUU
rnacentral:rRNA from 1 species